UAGGUGCGCGUUGCGCUCAAUAGAGAAGCAGGUGAGAAACCUGCGCUGUCCCGCAGCUGUAAUGCGGAGUCGACCUCAUUCAUGUCACUGGGCAAUCGGGAAGGCGAGGAAGACGAUGAUGCAAAGCCAGAAGAACUGCCUAGUU
rnacentral:ncRNA from 1 species